rnacentral:rRNA from 1 species
GAUGAAUGCUGGCUGUAUGGAUAAGGCAUGCAAGUNCGAACGGACCGCAAGGUCAGUGGCAGACGAGGUAGUAACACGUACGAACGUACUCCCAAGUCGGGCAUAGCCAACCGAAAGGUUGGGUAAUUCCCGAUAGUCCCUACGGGGUAAAGAUUUAUCGCUUGGGAAGCGGCGUGCGUAGUAUCAGCUUGUUGGUAAGGUAACGGCUUACCAAGGCUACGACGCUUAGGGGAGGUGAGAGCCUGACCCCCACCGAUGGGACUGAGACACGGCCCAUACUCCUACGGGAGGCCGCAGUCGAGAAUCUUUCGCAAUGGACGAAAGUCUGACGGAGCGAUACAGCGUGGUGGAUGAAGUGCUUCGGUACGUAAACACCUUUUAUUGUGGGACGAAAUUAUUGACGGUACCACAUGAAUAAGGUGCUCCUAACUCUUGUGCCAGCAGGAGCGGUAAUACAGAGGCCCCAAGCAUUAUCCGGAAUCACUGGGCCGUAAAGGGUCUCAAGGCGGUCGUAUUAGUCUUUCCGUAAAAUCCAUGGGCUCAACCUAUGGCUCGCGGGAGAAACGGUACGACUUGAGGUCGGGAGAGGUGCGUGGAACUCACGGUGUAGGGGUGAAAUCCGUUGAUAUCGUGGGGAACACCUAAAGGCGAAGGCAGCGCACUGGCCCGAAUCUGACGCUCACACACGAAAGCCAGGGUAGCGAACGGGAUUAGAUACCCCGGUAGUCCUGGCCCUAAACGCUGCUCGCUCGCUCUACGGAGUAUCGACCCUCUGUGGGGCUAAGCUAACACGGUAAGCGAGCCGCCUGGGUAGUACGAGCGCAAGCUUAAAACUCAAAGGAAUAGACGGGGACUCGCACAAGCGGUGGAUCAUGUGGCUUAAUUCGUCGAUAAGCGAAGAACCUUACCAGGGCUAGAAACCAAGCUGCACGCCCCCAGAAACGGGGGAAGCCUUCGAGGGUGCUUGGCAGGUGAUGCAUGGUUGUCGUCAGUUCGUGGCUUGAGCUGUUCCCUUCAGU